rnacentral:misc_RNA from 1 species
AAUCCUCAAAAGGGAAGCUUCACCGUUUCCCUUUUGGAAUUGGGGUGUGCUGGCCUUUUAUGAAGCCCAGCUCCUCUGAAAUACAUUAGCGAUGUGACAUCCGCAUGCACCACGCUUCUCUGGCAUUGAUAGUAUCUUCAUGCUUGAGGCGGGAUCUGCAGCCGUGGAAAGCUUUGCUCGCUUACAACCAAUGGUGUGGAGAGGUGCCUUUGUCCCUCUCCACCGAUCCUCUGACCA